UAAGAGUUUAUUAAAAUUAAAUAAAAAAAAGGUUCAUAUUUCUUUUAUGUCCUGAAAACAUAUGGUAAUGAGUUGUAGUUAAGAUUAAAGAAAGUGAUGCCAAAACAAACAAGACAUAAGACAUGGACUCCCAUGCCAUCCCUGGCCCACCCAAUCCUCUUGUAAACACAUAAAUUGCCCCUCGUUCUCUGGAAAAGACAAAAAGAGUUUGAUGAGUCAUCAAGUUAUUUGGAUAAGCGCGACACCUGUUCCCUCCCACUCUUACAAUUAUUUGGACACUCCUCUUCUUCUCUUUUCUUUUAUAUUUUCGGGACAAUUUCUCUCCCAUCUCACUCUUCCUUUUUUUUUUUUUAUGAAAUGUUUCACUCUGAAGGCUCAAGUUUUUUGAAUUUCUCGCGAGAUAUUGAUUCGCUUCUGACAACAGGCCAAAACAGCCUCAAUUUUAGGGCCCGCUACUAUUAGUAUUAGCCCCAAAAAAACCAUUUCCUGUUUCCUGUUUCCUGUUUCCUGUUUAAUACACCCACUCUUCCCUUCUAUAAAUACAAGCACACUCUCUUCAUCUCUCCCACCAACGCAUCCAUUUUCCUCUUAAUACUCUCUCCCCGCUCAUCGGAGAAUCUAAAAAAAUAAGAUAAAAAAAUUAAAAAUAUAUUAAAAUGAGUUACUUGAACCGUGUUUGCAUGGCGGCCAGCGUGGCGGUGGUGCAAGGCCAUCCUGAUCAAGGUUGGAAAUCAGGUCUGAAGUCUUUACAGAACGGCAAGAGAACACUUUUCUCCGGCGGAGACGUUUCGGAGCUCCGACCUCUCUCCGGCGUAUUCGGAGCAGAUCGUAGCGGAGUUCCGGGAAGUCCUGAAGGUCAGGAUCGAGGAAAACAGAACGAUGAAACUUUCCGGCGAGUGAUGUACCUAAAUUGCUGGGGACAGGGGUAAUCGGAGCUCGAAAAGAGACCAGACGAUGUUAAACUAAAUGAUCGGGCACCGGUGGGAGCUAAAAAAAAUGAGCUGAGAAGGUAGACUCGGCGUUGACCGAGUUAAUUUUGAGAUAGGGAGGCUCCCUCUCCUUUUGUUUUUACAAAAGGAAAAAAUUGUAAAUCUGUACAGUUUAGAUUAGAAAUGAAAUGAACUGAACUGAUAAAAAGAAGUUGUCUUUCUCUUCUCCGAUGACAUUUUUGGUUGUUAAGCUCUAUAAAAUAUACCAAGAUGCUUCCUUUGUUUAAGACAAAAUCGAUUCUUGUUUCCAUUCACCAACUCCAUAUCUUUAUGAUGAUCUGAAGCGUGUGAUUAUUUAGAGAUUGAAUCAGUGACAGUAACCAUCUUGAUUACAUCUACAAAUGUUGGUUUGGUUUGGUUUUGAUGAAUUUGUUGGCCUCAACUCAAGAACCUUGCUCUGGGUUAGUCAAGCCAAUGACUUGACAAGUGGGUGAAUUAUUAUUAUUAUUGGUACCAGCCAACCAACUAACUGUGCUCAGCUCAUCCUUUCAUCUGAAAGAUAAGCACAAAUCACCAAUAAAUCAAACUCAUUAAUUACAAUACAAAUAAGUGGGUCCCAUUUGUCAAUUAUUUCAGGAUUGGAUUAGAUUGGAUGAGCUCUCGAGUCAUUUUGUUGAUCUUAUUGGCGUGCAUAUGUUGUUGGGUUGGGUUUCCCAAAAAGUCUUACUGCCAUGGUCCAGUUUUGUUGGACAUUAUUAAUGGAUUCAUUCAAGUACAUUUGUACCUUAAUUUCAUGAAACAAUGGCAUUGCCCUGCCUCUUGACAAUUUAUCAAACAAAAAACCGAAGGCGAAGAUCCAAUGCAUGACUUGCCAUUCUAAACUUUUGUCUACUUGGAAUUUACUCUGUUUUUGUCAAAUAAAAAUAACAUCAAAGGUAAGCAAGGAAUGUUAGAGAAGCCGGCCUCUUCUACAAGGAAAUACAAUGCCAAGAAAAUGCUGGUCUUUUCAAUGCUACUCUUCCAUAUAAAUAGGACCUUUCACAAGAGGCAAAGCAACUACUACAUACACAAAGGAAAGGAAAUACACCUUUCAGUUUGAGUAGUAAAGAAGCAACAAUCUGGGCAUGGCCAAGUUUAAUAACAACGCCUCUAUGUUUCUUAAGUUGGCCAUUGUGCUCUCUCUUUUUCUCAUGAUCUCUACCGCUCAGGGUAAAAAGCUUGGCAUUGGUUUUGGAGAUGCGAAAUCAACUCCAGAAUGUGAUUCAGUAUAUGGUGCGCAAGAUGGUGAUACUUGCACAAGUGUUGCUAACCAGUUCAAUUUAACUCUUGAAUUCUUUUCUUCCAUCAAUCCAAAUCUCAAUUGUGAUGAUUUCUUCGUCGGUCAAUGGCUCUGCAUUAAUGGAACUGCUUAAAUGCUGAUCAAUUUAUACGUUCAAGUGCCAUAGAACCAUGAAUAAAGAGAAAAAAAAAGUCAUUCCUUUUUUCUCAAACAUAGUUAUUCCAAUGUAAUUUGAGUCUAUAAAGCUAUAGACUUGAUGCACCAAUAAUGAGAAUAAAGUGUUCUUUGUUAUGAUCUGACUUCUUAGUUGCCUUGAAUUUACAGUACUCAGUAACGAUGGCUAUAAUACUAUUGGCAUUAAAUUGAAAAACCAAAA